rnacentral:lncRNA from 1 species
GGCGGCUCCCAACAAAGUAAGGCGCUUCCUACACCCAUUUCCAGCUGGCCAAGUAGGACCAAGAUAAUCAUCACGGAGGAAGAGGAGAGGUGGGGAUGCCUCUCAGAUCAAAGUCUUCAAAGGCAAACCAGCUGCAUGUUUGUGAAGAUCGUGUUUGGCUCCGGCUCAAGCAGACAGCCCUGAAUGAGAUUCUUGGGGUAGCUACUGAAAACUGGCAGCAGAAGCAGAGCCGGGUUUAUUUCAGAGGGCGUGUUAAGAAGCUGGACCCUUUCCUGGAAAAUCAGCUCCAGUGGAUUAAGAGCUCAUUUAUGAAAAUGAAACCACCACAGAGGCAGUGGCCAAGAGGGGAGAUGACAUCAAGGUUCCUAAAUAAGACACCAGACAUACUAGGCCUGCUUAUCAAACCACAAUUAACAGCAGACAACAAUAGCCAACAAGCAACAGCAGCCAAAACCAACCAACAACCCAACAAUAACCCACCUAUCAGAGCUCUAGCAUUUAUAUAAUACCCUCUGAAAAGUCUCCAGAAUUCCAGACACCCAUACACUCACAGAAACCAUAUGCAGCUGGCAAAAUCACGCCCCUGCUAGAGCAUGAGGCAAAUCAUAGUCAGCUAUGGUGGGCAGUCUGAAGCAGCCCCGUACCUCACACCUAGGAUUAAGACAAAAAUAUAUUCUUAAAUAUUCCUGUGGGUUUUUGGGUUUUUUUUUUUUACUUGGUUUGGUUUUUUUUGUUUUUCGAGACAAAGUUUCUCUGUAUAGCCCUGGCUGUCCUGGAACUCACUCUGUAGACCAGGCUGGCCUUGAACUCAGAAAUCCACCUGCCUCUGCCUCCCAAGUGUGCCACCACGCCCGGCUAUUCCUGUGGUUUUUUUUUUUUUUUUUUAAGAAACCAAAACUCCCAAUUUGUCACUAUAGAUAUUAUUUUAAGAUAAACAAGCAGAUUACAGAAAGAAUGAGUCUGCUCUGGUUUUAUUUUGAGAUAGGGUUUCUUAGUUUAACCCCGGCACUCACCAGGCUGGCCUCAAACUCACAGAGAUGGCCUGCCUCUGCCUCCCAAGUGAUUGAAGGUGUGCGCCAUUAUCACCCAGCAAGUUUGGCUCUCCGUUCUACUCCACAAAUACACUCUUCAUUUUGACCCAAAGAUUUUGACUCACACUUGGGUUCAUUUGGUCUGCUGACAUUCAGGCCCAUACUUACAUACUUCCUGUCCCCCAACGCUUAGCAGCAAACUGCACUUGGUAUAACCCUAGAUUUGUCUUUCUCUUCUUUUCAGUCUCACAGCACCUUGAGGCUCGUCCUUAUGAAUUAGGACUUGGUUGUCCUGCAUCAGCAAAGCUGUGUGACCUUCUUGGAAACCAGAGAGGCAGGAUUGAUGCUGACGCUUCAUAGGCUGUGGUAACCACGUGACUCACCGCCACGUGUCCACGCAGAAAAGUUACCCCUUGUUCAGCGCAUCCUCAGUGCAGCCCCAAGGCUGAAGUCGCCAGUACCCACCUCUCUGGGCAGCCCAGUGAUGUCCCUCAGCGAUGAGACUUCAGCAAAGGUCCCCCAAGAGUGGGCUGCACUGUUGGCAAACCUCCUCAGGAACGGCUCCUCGGUGGUGGUCCCUCAGCAGCAACAACCUCUCAAGAAUGGUCCCUGGCGACUGCCCCUUAGCAACAGCUCCUCACAAAUGACCCCUAGAAAGUGGUCCAGUAACUAGGUCGCCUCCCAGAAACAGAUCCUCGGCGACGGUUCCUCAGCACUGGCCCCCGCAGAAUCAGUUCCUUAAGCCGCUAGACCAUGGCCUCUUAACGGCCCGACUGCCCCCAGCCACCGUGGGUCUGAGGCUGCGUAGUUUGGGCGCGCAGCUCCAUGGCAACGGAAGGCUGCUUUGGGGUAGCGGGCGGGGCUGAGGCUGCGGAGGGAGAGCUUGUGCGCAGGCGUAGUGCAACAGCGGGGGUAAAGUGGGACGAGCAUCGCGGAGGGCAGAGUCAAAGCUGACUGUUGCCCAGACGAUUCUCCUGGAGACUGGGGCAGGUGCUCGAGAACUUGUCUAAAGCCAGUUGAAACUUGGGUCAACUGCUUACUUAAAAGACCAUUUACGCAGAAGUUAGGAUCUCCUGCGUCUCUUGGAUCUGAAUUCUGGCUCUCCCAGGGCUUUGCAGCCUGUGUUGUGCCCUCUAGGUGGUGACAUCUGACUCCUCUGGAUAACUCACAGGACUCUUUGGAUUGUUUUUGGUCGUUUAAGUUGGCGUGGUCACUAGUCCGGGCAGGAGGUGGGCUCAACAGUGGACAGGACAUGUUCCCUUUCCUCAGAGUCGCAGGGAUGACUGGCAACUCCUGUAGUUUUGUCUUGGAGAUGGAGAACCUUCAGCGUUAAGAAGUCCUCAAAAUAAUACAGAGCCUGUGGAAAUGUCAGUGGAGAUUGGUGGGGGGUACCUCUGCACUCCCUUCAGAUACUUUGCCUGUGAAAUACCACUGCAAUACUGUAUAGGUGUGUGUGUGGCUGGGGAUCGAACCCAGGUGUUCUAUAAGUUUAGAGCUUUGUGUAUGGAAGCCGGAUGUCCUAGUAAAGCAAUUUGGGAAAGAUAGCCAGUUGGUUUGUAACCUUUAGCUGAGGGAGAAUGUGAACUGGGCCUCCUACUCUGGGUUGACCCUGGUAUAUGGCUGAGCAGAGAGGGUUGUGAAGUAACCAUAUCCAAUACUAAUAUUUGUGGUAUGAAGUAUAAUCCCCACUAUAGUAAAAUAAGUGAAUAAAUUGGUCUUCUCUUUC